UAGAUUUGGCCUUAUUCCCAAUGUUAACCAUGCAAUUCAUUUUGUUAUGAGUUUUCCUUGAUAAGUUAUUGAUAGCAUGGUCCUUAGAAAUCAACUAUUUUUAAAUUUGUGAUUACCCCUUCCUACUGCUUGCAGUUCAUUUGUACAGCCAGGUUGUAGUUUUUGAAAGUUUUUGAGCACCAUGCUUGGUAGCUAAAAAAAAAAAAUCAAUGUUAUGCAAAAGGUAGAAGUGUUUGAGAAUAUGAAACUGCCUUUAGUACUGUUUCUUUUUUGAGAAUUUUGGUUAAGAAGGUCAAUGAUAGGAGGGUUUAAACCUUUCUCUGCAAUUAAGGCCAUUGCAACAUGUAGGAAAACUCCCCACUUAAAAAUCUACCACUUUGUUCCGUUUCUUCUUUCUCCUCUGGGUUUGUAUCAGUUUGUUUUAUAUUUUCCUUUUGUUUUUAUGUAAUUAGUAAUGUACUUCAUAUAUUAUAAUUGUUUUCUUAAUUUUGUAAUCACUAUGAAAUUAGAGGGUGGGGUUAAAUAUGAUCUGUCAUGAUUUAUUAUUGCAUAAUAUUCUCCUUGAGUUUGGCAAAGAUUAGAUUUGAUUUGAUGCAAUGAUUUUCUAUGUUCGGGUUUCUACCAGAAUGAGACUGAUUUUCAGGAUUUAUGAUGGCUGAACCAAUGCUCAUGAUUGGUGGCAAUAAUGCUCAACUUAAGUUGCUGCAUAACUCAUGUUGGUGCUGCUGCUGGAGGCUUAAGUAGCUGCAUAAUUGCUAGUGUUGUUGUUGCUUAAAGUCAAAUUCUUUUUUCAGACACUAUAUGCUUAAAUAUACUACAUUAUUUAAGUCAAAUUCUUUUUUAGAAAGAGCAUGUAAUUCAGUAACUUAUCAUUAUGUUUAGCUAUUUAAUUCCAUGAAAUUUCAGGUCAAUUGAGCCACAAGUGAAAGGAAAAGAUUUACUUUGACUGUGAUAUUGCUUUAAGUCCUUUCACUUUCGGGCGUGUGAGCUCUACACUUUUGGGAGCAUAUAAGUCACCAUGGGAAAGGAAGAACUCUGCCAAGAGCUUGGAAACCACUUUUUAUUGUACUUUGAGACCACGAUUUAACUUUGCCUUGUCUUGUGGUGAAAAAAGAGACUACAACAUACAGUGAUACAAUGUAUACAAUAAAUGAUCAUUGUCAUUCAUGACAAGUGGAAGCCAUGUAUAAUCACUAAUUAGAUUAGUUUUAUAUUUAUUGGGAUGU